rnacentral:rRNA from 1 species
CCUACGGGGGACUGCAGUGAGGAAUAUUGGUCAAUGGCCGCAGGGCUGAACCAGCCAAGUCGCGUGAGGGAUGACGGUCCUAUGGAUUGUAAACCUCUUUUGUCAGGGAGCAAAGGGCGCCACGUGUGGCGCUUUGCGAGUACCUGAAGAACAAGCAUCGGCUAACUCCGUGCCAGCAGCCGCGGUAAUACGGAGGAUGCGAGCGUUAUCCGGAUUUAUUGGGUUUAAAGGGUGCGCAGGCGGAAUGUCAAGUCAGCGGUAAAAUUUCGGGGCUCAACCCCGUCGUGCCGUUGAAACUGGCGUUCUUGAGUGAGCGAGAAGUAUGCGGAAUGCGUGGUGUAGCGGUGAAAUGCAUAGAUAUCACGCAGAACUCCGAUUGCGAAGGCAGCAUACCGGCGCUCAACUGACGCUCAUGCACGAAAGCGUGGGUAUCGAACAGGAUUAGAUACCCCGGUAGUC